GCUCUAAUAGUUUAAAAAAAUAUUACGUUGUGGUUGUAAAGUUGCGGUUGCUUAGGGCA
rnacentral:tRNA from 1 species